rnacentral:rRNA from 1 species
GACGAACUUUGGCGGCGUGCUUAACACAUGCAAGUCGAACGGAAAGGCCCUGCUUUUGUGGGGUGCUCGAGUGGCGAACGGGUGAGUAACACGUGAGUAACCUGCCCUUGACUUUGGGAUAACUUCAGGAAACUGGGGCUAAUACCGGAUAGGAGCUCCUGCUGCAUGGUGGGGGUUGGAAAGUUUCGGCGGUUGGGGAUGGACUCGCGGCUUAUCAGCUUGUUGGUGGGGUAGUGGCUUACCAAGGCUUUGACGGGUAGCCGGCCUGAGAGGGUGACCGGCCACAUUGGGACUGAGAUACGGCCCAGACUCCUACGGGAGGCAGCAGUGGGGAAUAUUGCACAAUGGGCGGAAGCCUGAUGCAGCAACGCCGCGUGCGGGAUGACGGCCUUCGGGUUGUAAACCGCUUUCGCCUGUGACGAAGCGUGAGUGACGGUAAUGGGUAAAGAAGCACCGGCUAACUACGUGCCAGCAGCCGCGGUGAUACGUAGGGUGCGAGCGUUGUCCGGAUUUAUUGGGCGUAAAGGGCUCGUAGGUGGUUGAUCGCGUCGGAAGUGUAAUCUUGGGGCUUAACCCUGAGCGUGCUUUCGAUACGGGUUGACUUGAGGAAGGUAGGGGAGAAUGGAAUUCCUGGUGGAGCGGUGGAAUGCGCAGAUAUCAGGAGGAACACCAGUGGCGAAGGCGGUUCUCUGGGCCUUUCCUGACGCUGAGGAGCGAAAGCGUGGGGAGCGAACAGGCUUAGAUACCCUGGUAGUCCACGCUGUAAACGGUGGGUACUAGGUGUGGGGUCCAUUCCACGGGUUCCGUGCCGUAGCUAACGCUUUAAGUACCCCGCCUGGGGAGUACGGCCGCAAGGCUAAAACUCAAAGGAAUUGACGGGGCCCCGCACAAGCGGCGGAGCAUGCGGAUUAAUUCGAUGCAACGCGUAGAACCUUACCUGGGUUUGACAUGGAUCGGGAGUGCUCAGAGAUGGGUGUGCCUCUUUUGGGGUCGGUUCACAGGUGGUGCAUGCCUGUCGUCAGCUCGUGUCGUGAGAUGUUGGGUUAAGUCCCGCAACGAGCGCAACCCUUGUUCACUGUUGCCAGCACGUUAUGGUGGGGACUCAGUGGAGACCGCCGGGGUCAACUCGGAGGAAGGUGGGGAUGACGUCAAGUCCUCAUGCCCCUUAUGUCCAGGGCUUCACGCAUGCUACAAUGGCUGGUACAGAGAGUGGCGAGCCUGUGAGGGUGAGCGAAUCUCGGAAAGCCGGUCUCAGUUCGGAUUGGGGUCUGCAACUCGACCUCAUGAAGUCGGAGUCGCUAGUAAUCGCAGAUCAGCAACGCUGCGGUGAAUACGUUCCCGGGGCC